UGGGGAAUCUUGGACAAUGGGGGCAACCCUGAUCCAGCGACGCCGCGUGGGUGGUAAGGCCUUCGGGUUGUAAAGCCCUUUCACCGGGGAAGAUGAUGACAUUACCCGGAGAAGAAGCGCCGGCUAACUCCGUGCCAGCAGGCGCGGUAAGACGGAGGGCGCUAGCGUUGUUCGGAAUCACUGGGCGUAAAGGGCGCGUAGGCGGCUGUUAAUGUCGAGGGAGAAAGCGGGGGGCACAAGCCCGGAACGGCCUUCGAGACUGGGCAGCUCGAGAGGGGAAGAGGAGGGUGGAAUACCCAGUGUAGAGGUGAAAUUCGUAGAUAUUGGGUGGAACACCAGUGGCGAAAGCGGCUCUCUGGUCCGGAUCUGACGCUGAGGCGCGAAAGCGUGGGGAGCAAACAGGAUUAGAUACCCCCGUAGUCC
rnacentral:rRNA from 1 species